CCCUUAGAUGUUCUGGGCCGCACGCGCGCUACACUGAUGCAUUCAACGAGUUUCUUCCUGGUCCGAGAGGAAUGGGUAACCUUUUGAAAGUGCAUCGUGAUAGGGAUAGACUAUUGCAAUUAUUGGUCUUCAACCAGGAAUUCCUAGUAGACGUAGUUCAUCAGACUGCAUCGAUUACGUCCCUGCCCUUUGUACACACCGCCCGUCGCUCCUACCGAUUGAAUGCUCAGGUGAGCCAUUCGGACUUUCAUCAUGCUGGUUUCCAGUUUUGAUGAAGGAAAGUCUUGCGAACCUUAUCAUUUAGAGGAAGGAGAAGUCGUAACA
rnacentral:rRNA from 1 species